rnacentral:lncRNA from 10 species
CACACCUGGAAGCCAGAAAGACCAGCGUUCAUCCACACAGGCAGUGUUUCCUCAUUCUGCUCACACUUGUGGGACCAAAUUUAGAAACUUAAUGAAGAAUAGGGUCCUAGUCGCCAAAUUGGUAGGACCCCCUGGUUCCUUCCUUCCCAUUAUUUCUUCCAGUCUCCAGUUGCCUUAGAGCUCUUCAUAUAUGGCCCUUGCCUUGGUUUACAGUUCUAGAAGCUGCUUGAAAGCAAGAGCUAUUGCCAGGCCAGAGAUAAUGUCUGAAUCAGGCACAUAGAAGUGAAAUGAGGAAUUGUGAGAGACAAAUUGGAGCUGCUGAUACGGCCUUGUGUGUUCUGCAUUCUCCUCAAAAGCCAGGUAGGGAAAUAUAUUCAAGACAAGCUGGUGGAAAGGUUCAUCUUUCCUCUGUGUAUCAGAAACGACAGAUUUGGUGACCUUCCACCAAUUUGGUGAGAGUGAAGGCAAAUUCAACGACAGACUUUACAUCAUUAAUGAAGUCAGCAUGAACUUGACAAGAACAACAAUUUUGGAAAACUGAGUUAUCUAUUCAGCAUCAUUUUUACAAAGGUACUUUGAAAAAUGUUUAAUUCAAUGAUAAAGAGCCUGCCCAAGAGUUUAAAAUACAAUAAAAACAAGAACGUACAUCAAUUGUUGAUCCCAUCUGAUGGCAGUCUGUCCUUGAGCAUAUAGCUAAAAGGAUUUUCUCUGUAUCAAGUGGCACAACUACGGUGGACAUUCUGGAAACCAGGACUCUCAUGUCUUCUGCUAGCAUGUCAAAAACUGUGAAGAGUCUGAAAUUUUACUCUACUUGCAAGCAGUCUCACUCUAUCUCCCAGGCUGGAGUGGAAUGGCGCGAUCUCGGCUCACUGCAACCUCCACCUCCCGGGUUUAAGUGAUUCUUCUGCCUCAGCCUCCCGAGUAGCUGGAACUAGAGGCGCCUGCCACCAUGCCCGGCUAAUUUUUGUAUUUUUAGUAGAUAUGGGGUUUCACCAUAUUGGCCAGGAUGGUCUCGAACUCCUGACUUCGUGAUUUGCCUGCCUCGGCUUCCCAACGUGCUGAGAUUACAGGCAUGAGCCACUGUGCCUGGCCAACUGAAUGUUUUAAAUUAUGCUGUAUCUCUUAAAACACUUAAAAAUAAAAUCUUAUGAAUCACCGAUUUAUUAAUACAAGGCAACUAACAACAAAGAGCCUAGAGAGACUUUAGGUCUCUUUCUUAAAGAAGUUCAUAAUUUAAUAACCUCUCUGGGCUUCAUUUUCUUUAUCUUUAAAGUAAGGACACUGAACUUGACUUUCUCCAAGAUUCCCCAAGGGAGGUUCCAAGGCUUUCUAAUACAGUCAUGUUAUAUGUUAUAUAACCAAGCACUCAGAGCAGUUCCUGGCCAUUUGUGAGGAAGGAGAAUAGGAUCUGGAGGCAGGGAACCUAUGACUGAUUUGCACUAACUUCCUAGAACGAAUCGAAAGGAAAACCCCACCUCUCCACACCAAAGUAACAAAAGGAUCAGAGGCUACUCUUUUUGCACUUCAUCGUAGAGGAAAAAUGAAAAGUACCUCUGAUUGUUUCCUUCCCACAACCAAUCAGACUGGUGGCAGGCCUAGUCUUCAUUUGCAUGUAACUUUGUAACUUUACUUCAUCCUCUGAUUGGUCCCCUCCCACAACCAAUCAGACUGGUCACAGGCUACAUCUUCAUUUACAGAGAGUGUAACCAAGUAACCAAUGGGAAACCUCUAGAGGGUGUUUAAACCCCAGAAAAUUCUGUAACCAGCACUCUUGAGCUGCUUGCUCGAGCCUACUCCCACUCUGUGGAGUGUACUUUUGUUUCAAUAAAUCUAUGCUUUUAUUGCUUCAUC